UCAAUUUAGAUGCUUAAUUAAAUAAAUAGUUUAUUAUGUUUUUGAUCUCAGUAAUAUGGAUAAGUAUACCUUAGAUCCAAACAAUGCAAUGAAAAAAUAGAUGUUUAAGUUAGACGUCAUUUUCGUUUUCAAGUAAUAACGAACAAGCAACACAUACCCGAAGCUAUUUAUAGAUAUGAUUGAGAAAUUUUCUAUCAAAAAUAUAAAUAUACACCCCAAACACUUCAUCCCUCUCCAUUUCUUGUGACUAACCCUUUCAUUGAGUUCUUUUUCUCAUUUCAUUUCAAUCAGAACUUCAAAUCAAAUUCUCUAAAUAGAGGACGAGAUGGUAGAAGCAAAGGGUAAAGGUUAAGAGGAGUCCAUCGUCAAAUCCAAACCGAGGAAGAAUCUUUCAUAUUCACAAGAAUUAUGAGUUUCUUUUUCUAUUAAAAUCAAUCUUUGAAUGUUGCAUGAGAAUUAUUGGGGAUGAAUUCAACUUAUUCUUUUGUGAAAAUUUUAUUUUGGGUGCUUUGACAAAAUGGGUAUUUUGAAAAUGAGAAUGAAUGAAGUGCGAGGUUUUGCUUGUUAUAAGUUGGGCACUACUUGGAUGUUCAAGUGCUAAAAUGUGAAAAUAGUGGGUAAGUCCUUGAAUUUGCAGAAGUUUGCUAAGCGAAUAUAAUUUCGCUAACCGAAUUCAGCUCUAUACCAACAUGUUUGUUUCAGACUUAAUUUGUAAGAUUUUGGAAAAAUUUGUCCCUGUAUAGGAUUCGAUGAACAAAUGUCAAAUUCUGUAAGCGAAUUUGAUAGAUUCUGAAAAUGUUCCUUGUAGUUUUUAUGUAUGUUUAGUUUAUAGUAUUCUUUAAUAUUGAUUCAAAUUGUAUUGUUAAUCUCCUAUUGAUUAAUAAACUUGGUGUUGUGAUAUGUAUUGAUUUAAUUGAAAAUGAUACUAUAUUUUUUAUGUUAAAAUUUCAUUUUUCAAUUAUUUGUUUUAAAUUAAAUGAUUGAAUGUAAU
rnacentral:lncRNA from 1 species